AAGAGUUAAUAGGUUCUUUUUAAAGACUGUUCUAUCUUCUUUGUUACAACUGCUGUUACCAGAUUUUAAAUUUAGUAUAAGUAACAGAAAACUGCCAUGGACCUUGAAUUUUUAUUUCUUGGGAGCAUUGUGCUUGCAACCAUUUUUGUCUUCCUGAAGAUUUUACUAGAGGAUACUUUGCCAUAAAGAUCACAGACAUUGCUGGAGAAUACCACUGAAGUUCUCUAGAUAACACUAUGUGAAUGGCCACCCAAGUUAACAUUUCAUAUAGUUGUAAGAACAACACCUUCUCAGUAAAACAGCAACAAUGCUGUGACUCUUCUGGUGAACAAUUUCAAUCAUGUUAUGGUGACUUAUUCAGUAGCCAUGUUCAGGCAAAUCCUAGUUCAUCUGGACAUCAUAGAAUGACAACUGGCUCAAAUAAAGGAAAAUAAAGUUCUAUCUGUGAGAAAACCAUUAUUCCACUUAAAUGCUAAGCAGAUACAU
rnacentral:sRNA from 1 species